GACGAACGCUGGCGGCGUGCUUAACACAUGCAAGUCGAACGGAAGGGCCCUGCUUUUGUGGGGUGCUCGAGUGGCGAACGGGUGAGUAACACGUGAGUAACCUGCCCUUGACUUUGGGAUAACUUCAGGAAACUGGGGCUAAUACCGGAUAGGAGCUCCUGCUGCAUGGUGGGGGUUGGAAAGUUUCGGCGGUUGGGGAUGGACUCGCGGCUUAUCAGCUUGUUGGUGGGGUAGUGGCUUACCAAGGCUUUGACGGGUAGCCGGCCUGAGAGGGUGACCGGCCACAUUGGGACUGAGAUACGGCCCAGACUCCUACGGGAGGCAGCAGUGGGGAAUAUUGCACAAUGGGCGGAAGCCUGAUGCAGCAACGCCGCGUGCGGGAUGACGGCCUUCGGGGUGUAAACCGCUUUCGCCUGUGACGAAGCGUGAGUGACGGUAAUGGGUAAAGAAGCACCGGCUAACUACG
rnacentral:rRNA from 1 species